UACGAAGGUCCCAAGCGUUGUUCGGAAUCACUGGGCGUAAAGGGCGCGUAGGCGGCCGAUUAAGUCGGGGGUGAAAGCCUGUGGCUCAACCACAGAAUUGCCUUCGAUACUGAUUGGCUUGAGACCGGAAGAGGUAAGUGGAACUGCGAGUGUAGAGGUGAAAUUCGUAGAUAUUCGCAAGAACACCAGUGGCGAAGGCGGCUUACUGGUCCGGUUCUGACGCUGAGGCGCGAAAGCGUGGGGAGCAAACAGG
rnacentral:rRNA from 1 species